rnacentral:misc_RNA from 1 species
UCUCGGUGAGAGGCCCGCUCAUGGCCGGCCGCGCCUCUCCGUGCUUAAUGCCUCAGGGCCCAGUACCCCCUCUGUGAGAGCCCGAGCAGCCCCCUUAUCCCUGCAUAUGCCGUGCCAGCUCUGGCAGUGGCGCGGCCGAGUGACUACAACGUAGAGAAGGCAGAGCAAUGUAUGGCUGCUGAUGUCGGUAGCGGGGUCCUGGGUGGCGUGGCGUCGGAGUGAGCGGUGACAGUGCACACGCUUGCGUCAUCCAUAUGGGAGGCAACGUGUCAGUGUGACUCCAACGCAUCCUCUCCCCCCCACACACACACAUCCCCGGCCCUCACACCGACUACUUGGCGGAGAGUCUGAGCCACCCCGGCGGGGAUGCGGCAGAGAGGGGGGCGACGGGCAUAAUGCGGGCAGCGGCUAUGAAGCGACGUGGGAAGCGGGGUGUGGGCUGCGUUCGAGGCAGGGGCCGUGCUCCGACGACUGAGCCGGCGCAUCGCCGUACCCGCGCGUCUCCCGCUGCUUUGCGCCACGCGAUGGGUGCCUGUGACACGGGCCAGAGGGGGAGGGGCGGUGGUGGCGUGCAGUUCAUGCGCCACGGUAGCGAAAUGCACGCGUUGCCGAAGACAAAACAAAACCGUACUUCGCGCAUGUAUGCGGUGUAUUCCGCACGCCGUGUCGACCCGGGAUAACACCGGCUCAUUCACAUGCAGAAAUGCCUCCCUGUGCAGCGCGUUGUGUGUCGUGCAUGACUUACGCGCCUACACGCCGUCCACGGCUCCACCUUUCUCUUCUCCCGUGCUCCUUGUGUGCGAUCGACCUGCAAAAAAAAAACGAGUUAAG